CCCGACCUAGCUCAGUUGGUAGAGCAUAAGACUCUUAAUCAGGGACAUGGGUGGCGCUGUGGGUUAAACCACAGAGCCUAGGACUUGCCGAUCGGAAGGUCAGCGGUUCGAAUCCCCGUGAUGGGGU